CUGGGGAGGCGCCGGCGUGGGUUCUGGUCCUGGUGGGGGCAUCCGGGUGGCCGCAGGCCCGAGGCAGGAUGCUGCCCGCUCACCUCUCCUCAUGGUGGAGCAUGUUCAGCUACCAUCAGUGGGGCUGUAGGAGGUCCAAGAGCAGGACAGAGGCCCUCGUUACUCACAGGGAAGUGUUAAGGGAUGAGAGGCGACCGGGAGGAGGAGUCAAGGAAGGAGGAGGCUGAAGUUUCAAAGGGAAGGGAUCUCCGUGCGUCCUGUGACGGGGUGAGGAAGUUUAGCAUGAAACAUAAACGUUUGGUCUUAUUUGGGCCGGGCGUACUCCGGUCACAGCCCCGUCCCUGCCCUUUGGCCGGAGAUGUGUUACUGUGAAUUGUGAGAACGUCAGCGCUCAAGUCAGAACCUGGGUUUGACCCCAGCCCCGCCACUGCCCAGCUGGGCGGUUUGGGGCAAGUUCCUCAUCCUCCCUAUGCCUCUGUCACCUCGCCUUAAAUGGAGAUGGUAAUGACAGACCUUUCGUAUAGGACUGCUGGGAAGAUGGAAUGAGGUUCUUGAAUUACAAAGUGCUUACCAGUUUCUGGUCCUGUAAUAAAAACCCUCAGUAAACGUUAGCUGCCAUGGAGGGCUAGAGCGGGCUAGGAGCAGGCUUUUUCAGAGCCAGACAUUGAAUAUUGAAAAAUGUUGCAAAUUCUUCAACCUGUUGAUAGAUUAAAACUGGGUCCGCUGAGAGUAUUUGUGCCGUGGAAACGGCAAACACAAGAGUGGGGUUUCCUCCUCCACACGGCCCCCCUGUGGAGCCAGUUUACAGCACAUCCCUGGUUACCUGUUUGUAUUUCGCAUGAGUUUUUGUUUGUUUUUCCUGCAGCUAAAGCAGCUGUGGAUGCCCAGGCUGGCUCUUUGUCAGUCCCUCUGGAAUAAGUAGAUGCAACGAAACAAAAAAGCAAGCCGAAUUUCUCAAAAAGAGACACUUUAAAUACGGAAUUUACAAGCUACGCGGUGUCUUCCCUACUGCACAUGCAUACACGUGUCCUGGACAGGAUCAUGCACAGAGGUCUUCGUGCGCCCUGCUUGAGGAUCACGGGUGAGAGUUGCAGUUCGUUAGCCCCAUUUGCUUUUCACCGAAUGAAAAAGCAUUACAUGAUGUCAGAGGGUCUCAGUUUCCACAAAGGGGAGUUUCCCAAGAUUUUCUGCGUCAGGGAGUUUGCUGGGUAAUCCAUGCAGGGUCUGGAAGGAUCCAGCCAGGACUAAUUUUUCCAUAUUUUCUAAUUUGAAUCUCAUACAUGUAUUUAUUGAUUUGUGUAGGUCUAUUAUUUAGACCUUUAUAAAGUCAGUUUAACUUAUUGAAUGCCCAGCAGACUUGAGGCACAGCCCCUGGCUUAAGGAACUCGUGCCGGUACAAAAAGCCCUGAAAUAAACUAACGAGAUACUGGACGCAUCAUCGGUCACCGGCAGCACAUGACUGAGAAGUGGUGUGGAGGGGAGGGCUUCAUAGAGGAGGUGAUGUCAGCCCUGCUCUGAAGCUCGAAGAGUUUACCAUGUGACCAGAGAGGGAAUACUAGUCCAGUAGUGGUGACAGUCAUCGCCUUCCUGUUGACUUGUGUUUGAGUUAGUUGCGUUUUAUCAGAGCAAGUUCUUUUCCACACUCAGUGGUGAGCUGUGGGAGGGCAGGAGGCAACUGUCAUCGCUGUCUCCUCCGAAGGACUUCCCACACUGUAGGGGCUCUGUCCCCAGUGGGCAGUGAGAACCACACAAGAAGGCUGCUUUCUUCACUGUGAAGCUGUAAGCAAAGCCCUUCUGAGGAACACUGACAUGAAGAAACAUUCACUAUGUGAAGAUGGCGAAGCUCAGAUUUGAAAUCGGCUCCUAAGCAGAAAGCGUAGAGCAAAGUUGGAUGUCUAGUCUGUGGACCUGGUCUAAAUAAACACAGAAGCCAUUUCCUUUCACUGUUAUGUGGCGUAAAGGUCCCUCAUUGUGAUCAGUGUUGGUGGAGUUGUUGAUAAACUGCUUUGCCUGUCUUCUCGGGAAGGCUGCUGCCGGCCCCGGCCCCGGCCCCGGCCUCCGUGCAGCUGUGCCCACCAGCAACAGUGUCCUCGGGGCAGCUGAUUUUUACUGCCGUGGAUGGCGAUGCACCUCUCCAGUCACUGUCUUCUCUGUGCUAUGAAAUUCCCCGCCGUCUUUCCAGGUCCUGCUAUGUUAGCCCGUCUUGGAAUUGUCUAUGGGAUAGAAUUUUUUCCACAUAUGAGCCAAGCCUACUGUAUAAAUCAAAAGGCACUUCUUAAUUUGCAGUUGUAUAUUAAAUUCACACAUAUCAGAUUGAAAUUCACACUAUUUUGCAUUACUCACACUUAAUGGUAAUUUCUUUUGGCUAUUGCCCUCAGGCUGUAUAAGAAUGAAAAAAUAGAUUUGAGCUCUUU